UGCAGUCGAGCGAUGGAUUAAGAGCUUGCUCUUAUGAAGUUAGCGGCGGACGGGUGAGUAACACGUGGGUAACCUGCCCAUAAGACUGGGAUAACUCCGGGAAACCGGGGCUAAUACCGGAUAACAUUUUGAACUGCAUGGUUCGAAAUUGAAAGGCGGCUUCGGCUGUCACUUAUGGAUGGACCCGCGUCGCAUUAGCUAGUUGGUGAGGUAACGGCUCACCAAGGCAACGAUGCGUAGCCGACCUGAGAGGGUGAUCGGCCACACUGGGACUGAGACACGGCCCAGACUCCUACGGGAGGCAGCAGUAGGGAAUCUUCCGCAAUGGACGAAAGUCUGACGGAGCAACGCCGCGUGAGUGAUGAAGGCUUUCGGGUCGUAAAACUCUGUUGUUAGGGAAGAACAAGUGCUAGUUGAAUAAGCUGGCACCUUGACGGUACCUAACCAGAAAGCCACGGCUAACUACGUGCCAGCAGCCGCGGUAAUACGUAGGUGGCAAGCGUUAUCCGGAAUUAUUGGGCGUAAAGCGCGCGCAGGUGGUUUCUUAAGUCUGAUGUGAAAGCCCACGGCUCAACCGUGGAGGGUCAUUGGAAACUGGGAGACUUGAGUGCAGAAGAGGAAAGUGGAAUUCCAUGUGUAGCGUAAA
rnacentral:rRNA from 1 species